rnacentral:lncRNA from 1 species
GGGGAUGCACCAUUCCUCGUUUCUUCCAUAUUCUUUGGAUUACAAUUUAUUCUUCCUCAGUAACUACUUUUUCAUUCUAGUUAAGGUCUCGAGCAUCCAAUUACAAAUGAGGGGACGGUGAUGUCUGCCAUAUUGAUUUUUCAACUACCUAGCAUCAACCUCUAAUAGGUGUUGGCCCCUUGUCCUAAAAUUCAAGAGAGGGGU